GCUUCCAUGGCGUAGUGGUCACUGCGCUCGCCUUGCACGCGGAGACCCGGGUUCGAUUCCCGGCGGGGUCA
rnacentral:tRNA from 1 species